GUCUGUGUAGAAUCUCUAAUCUAAAAUCGUAAUUGUUAUAAUUCUAUUUCUUUAAAUAAUCCAAUUUAAAUUUAAGAAACUAAUCAUGAUUGAUAAAAUAGUAUAGUAUAAAGUUUACGUUUUCGGAAGACUAUUUAUGUUUAGGUCAUGGUUCUGGAGGCUUCUUCACAUAUUUGUAAACAAACCAAUAUGGCCGCCACA
rnacentral:lncRNA from 1 species